GAGACCUGCGUUCCCUCCACCAACCACCAUCAUCAUUGAGGGCAAAAAAAGAUAGAAACUGAUCCUCGUUCAGUGAGAGACUCAUGUAUAGAUAACUACUGUUAUCGUUUUUUAUGCUAGAUUAUCAGUACAGUAAUGAUGAGGAUCAUUAAAAUGCAUAGGCCGAUAUGAGAAAGUCAAUCAAAUCUUUUCUGAUUGUAAUAUUCUAUGCAGAUUGAUUGACAUUUUCAGAGCAUGAUUCAUUUGGACAAGAGGAAUACCUAUGUAAGAAUGUUGUUCAUUGACUACAGCUAUAGCUCAGCAUUUAACACCAUAGAACCCUCGUUAUUAAACUCGAGAUCUUGGGUCUCGACCGCGCCCUGUGGAACUGGGUCCUGGACUUUCUGACGGGCCGCCCCCAGGUGGUGAAGGUGGAAAACAACAUCUCCAUCCUGCUGAUCCUCAUCACUGGGGCCCGCAACGGUGCGUUCUCAGCCCUUUCCUUUACUCCCUGUUCGCCCAUAACUGCGUGGCCAUGCAACAACCACCCGAGCCACUGCCUGUUCACCCCGCUAUCAUCCAGAGGGCGAGGAAGCACAAACUCUUUGCUGGUUCUUUGAAAUGUAACAACAUGACAGACGACUGUUCCAAAACAACCAGUAACAUCCCUUCGUUAACCAUGGAGGUUGAUGCUGCUUUUCUCCGAUCCUUGAGGGGUGUCCUUAAAUUAGUAGAGAUGGGGACUAUGUUUGUAGCAUUUGUGUGUUUUGCGGUAGCAUCCAGGCCCAAAUACAUUGCAGCUACAUGCAUGGAGUUUGUGAUCACAUUCUCCCUGCUUCUGCUGUACACACUGAAGUUGAACAAGAAGCUGACUCUGUUCUUUUGGCCUCUCGUUGAUUUGUUCAACUCACUGUUUGCAGCAGUCUUCAUACUUAUCCUGAGUCUGAUAGCAGUGUCCACUUACACAGUGACAGGGACCCUGGGUGGAGGGGUGAGAUAAAAACAAAUAAAAACUUAUCCUGAGUCUGAUAGCAGUGUCCACUUACACAGUGACAGGGACCCUGGGUGGAGGGAUAGUGGGUUUCAUAGCAACAGGCCUGUGGUGUGUGGAUGGUUACAUGCUUUUCAAGAGGAUCACAUUCAAUCAACCAAGAACAGCAGCAACUGGCACUGUGAAGUGAAGACACCACAAUUGUCUCCUCCCAUGCUCACUCUCUUAUAUGUCAGUCCUUGCAUUUAUACCUGUAGGUUUAAAGGGGCAAUCAGCAGUUGAAACAAUAACAAAGCUUGGCCCCGGCCCGUUUUAGUAAAAACCUGAAGGAUAUAAGGCUGGAGAAAUGUAACCACUCUCAAAUUCAUAGACAGAGCAAUGUAUGCAAGGACUGACCAUCAAUGAUAUCAACAUGAUAGUUUUAACCAUGUUUCAAGGCUAUAUAGUGUUUGUUUACAUUUUGUUUGUUUACAAUUAUUGGAGUAAAACAAGCUUAUAUUUUGGGUUCUGAUGGUGUAUGACAGUUGAACUAAACUCAUGAGGCAUUUAUAUAUGUCUACAUAUAUCAUUCAUUUCUAAAUCAAAAAAUGGAUGUAUCAACUGCAGAUUUCCCCUUUGUUUGUAUAGCUUAAUCCAUGCAACAACACAAUUAUCAUGUAUAUAAAAUAAAUACACCUUUGAAAUCUA